ensembl:snRNA Gm24867 U6 spliceosomal RNA
CUGCUUACUUUGGGAGAAUAUAUACUAAAAUUGGAAUAGUACAGAGAAGAUUAGCAUGGCCCCUGUAUAAGGAAGACUUGCAAAUUCCUGAAGUGCCCCAUAAAAAC